CGGAAAGACGGUCGCGCGUGUAUACUGAUUAUAUUGAAUGGGCGCGGAAUUUUGACCGUGCGAAGGUAGCAUAAUCAUUAGUCUUUUAAUUGAGGGCUUGUAUGAAUGGUUGGACAAAAAAUAAGCUGUCUCAGUUAUAAAAAUUGAAUUUAACUUUUAAGUGAAAAGGCUUAAAUAAUUUAGGGGGACGAUAAGACCCUAUAAAGCUUUACAAUUAUUUAAUUAAAUUAUAAAUUGUUAGUAUAAACUUAAUUUAAUUGAUGUUUGUUUCGUUGGGGCGACGAGAAUAUAAUUUAGUAACUGUUCUUUUAUAGUUUGUUACAAUAAUUUUUGGUAAAAAAUUGAUCCUUUAUUAAAGAUUAAAAGAUUAAGUUACUUUAGGGAUAACAGCGUAAUCUUCCUUGAAAGUUCAUAUCGACAGGAAGGGUUGCGACCUCGAUGUUGAAUUAAGAUUUCUCUAUGGCGCAGCAGUUAUAGUGAGAAGGUCUGUUCGACCUUUAAAUUCUUACGUGAUCUGAUUUCCAGACCGGA
rnacentral:rRNA from 1 species